GUGACGAAGCGACGCCGCGUGUGGGAAGAAGGCCUUCGGGUUGUAAACCGCUGUUGGGAGUUAGGAAGUGUGGAGGUGUUAAUAGCGCUUUCACUUGACUAAAGCUCCAGAGGAAGCCACGGCUAACUCUGUGCCAGCAGCCGCGGUAAUACAGAGGCGGCAAGCGUUGUUCGGAAUUAUUGGGCGUAAAGAGCACGUAGGCGGCUCUGUAAGUCAGCUGUGAAAGCCUUCUGCUUAACGGAAGAACAGCAGUUGAAACUACAGGGCUUGAGUGCGGGAGGGGAGAGUGGAACUUCUGGUGGAGCGGUGAAAUGCGUAGAUAUCAGAAGGAACGCCGGCGGCGAAAGCGGCUCUCUGGCCCGUAACUGACGCUGAGUGUGCGAAAGCUAGGGGAGCAAACGGGAUUAGAUACCCCGGUAGUCCUAGCCGUAAACGAU
rnacentral:rRNA from 1 species